ACUAAUCCCUGGGGGAGGUCAAAAGACCUGAGAGUUCCCGAUAAGGGAAGACCCCUUGAACCUGAUCCGGAUAAUACCGGCGGAGGGAAAGGGAGAGACUGAGUAA
rnacentral:ncRNA from 2 species